UUUGGUCUUUUUUUCUAAUACUAUAUGCAAUAGGUCAACUAUAUUUGUUGUAUGGAAGAAUUGUUAGCUGUACAUGUCUGCCUGGCAUGGUUCAUCUGACCUUGACCUCAUUUUCAUGGUUCAUUGGUCAAUGUUUAGUUUUCUUGGUUAAUGUUAAGUUUAUGUGACAGUUGUAAUAAAGCUUUAUAUUAAGGACUAUCAACAUGAUAUCAGUGAUUAGUAAAGAAGGCGAGACAUUUCAGCGUGUGCACUCUUGUUGGACAACAACUCAAAAAUGCUUUAAGCAGUUCGCAUGAAACUUUGGUGAAUUAUUUAUAGCUAUUGAUGUAAUCUCCCUAUAGAUUUUCAUAAAUUUCAAAUAUGACAUUGAGAAGAAAUUGAACUUUAUUUGUUUAUAGUCUGGCAACAGAUUCAUUAAGUAUUGCGCAACAGCACAGUGUAUUGCACAACAGCAAGAAAUCUUUAAUUGAAUAUAAAUUCAAUUCAUAUAACCGAUUUCAAGUUCUUUGACUACAUUUAGUCAGAAACUAUAAUAUGUCAAAUAUUUAAUUACAAUCCAAAUUCAGACCUGUAUCAAGCUUGAAUAUUGUGUCCAUUUUUGCCCCAACUGUUCAGGGUUGGACCUCUGCGGGUGUAUCCAGCUGCGCUCAGCGAAUCAGUUUAUUUCUUAAUUAAGAACUCCUUUUUAUACGACCGCAAAAAUUAAAAAAAUUUUGGUCGUAUAUUGGUAUGACGUUGGCGUCGUCGUCGUCCGGCGUCGUCCAAAGACACAUUGGUUUUCGCACUCUAACUUUAGUUUAAGUGAAUGGAUCUCCAUGAAAUUUAACCAUAAGGUUCAAUACCACGAAAGGAAGGUUGGGAUUGAUUUUGGGGGUUAUGGUACCAACAGUUAAGGAAAAAGGGGCCAAAAAUAAGCAUUUUUGUAACUUCCAGACAAUAACUUGUGUGUAAGUGUAUGGAUCUCUCUGACAUUGUACCACAAGGUUCCAUAUCACAAAGGGAAGGCUGGAAUUGAUUUUGGGGGUAAUUGCCUCAAAAUGAUAGGAAUUAGGGGCCAAAAAAGGGGCAAAAAACAAGCAUUUUUCUUGUUUCAUGACAAUAACUUGUGUGUAAGUGUUUGGAUAUUUCUGAAAUUGUACUACAAGGUUCCAUAUCACAAAGGGAAAGAUGGAAUUGAGUUUGGGGGUAAUUGCCCGAAACGUUUAGGAAUUGGGGGCUAAAAAGGGGCCAAAAAUAAGCAUUUUUCUAGUUUCCAGACAAUAACUUGUGUUCAAGUGUAUGGAUCUCUCUGAAAUUGUACUGCAAGGUACCAUACCACAAAGGGAAGGCUGAGAUUGAGUUUGGGGGUGAUGAAUCAUAAGGGGGUUCAAAAAAUUUUGGGGGGGAUUUUUUUUUUUCUUUUUUUCCUUUUUUUUUUCUUUUAAAAUUUAAAAUUUUAAUUUGGUUAUUUCUGAUUUAUAUUUAAAAGCAAAUAAUAAUGAUAUGGUAGGAGAUACACACCAAACAGGAUGUGUAAAUUAUUAUAUAAUAAGUAUUGUGCAAUAUCAAGAAAUUUUCAAUUGCACAGUAUUGCACAAUAGCAAGAAAUCUUCAAUUGCACAGUAUUGCGCAAUAGCAAGAAAUCUUCAAUUGCACAGUAUUGCGCAAUAGCAAGAAAUAUCCAAUAGCACAAUAUUGCGCAAUAGCAAGAAAUUGUCAAUUGUACAGUAUUGCCCAAUAGCAAGAAAUAAUCAAUUGCACAGUAUUGUGCAAAAGAAGAUACUUCGUAUAAAUUGCUUAUUUCUUGAUCAAUUUCGAUGGGGUUUUAUUCUUGAAUUCUUGGGGUUCUUUAAUAUGCUGAAUCUAACCGUGUAUUAAGUUUUUGGAUUUAAGGCCCCGUUUUUAAAUUGGUCCACAUUGAGGUCCAAAGGGUCCAAAAUUUAACUUUGUUUGAUUUCAUCAAAAAUUGAAUUAUUGGGGUUCUUUGAUAUGCCGAAUCUAACCAUGUAUUUAGAUUCUUAAUUUUUGGUUCUGUUUUCAAAUUGGUCUACAUAAAGGUCCAAAGGGUCCAAAAUUAAACUUAGUUUGAUCUAAAAAAAAAUUGAAUAUAUGGGGUUCUUUGAUAUGCUGAAUCUAACCAUGUAUUUAGAUUUUUGAUUAUGGGCCCAGUUUUCAAGUUGGUCCAAAUCGGGGUCCAAAAUUAAACUUUGUUUGAUUUCAACAAAAAUUGAAUAUAUGGGGUUCUUUGAUAUGCUGAAUCUAACCAUGUAUUUAGAUUUUUGAUUAUGGGCCCAGUUUUCAAGUUGGUCCAAAUCGGGGUCCAAAAUUAAACUUUGUUUGAUUUCAACAAAAAUUGAAUAUAUGGGGUUCUUUGAUAUGCUGAAUCUAACCAUGUAUUUAGAUUUUUGAUUGUUGGGCCCCGUUAUCAACUUUGUCCACAUUGAGAUCAAAAGGGUCCAAAAUUAAACUUUGUUUGAUUUCAUCAAAAAUUGAAUAUAUGGGGUUCUUUGAUAUGCUGAAUCUAACCAUGUAUUUAGAUUUUUGAUUAUGGGCCGUUUUCAAGUUGGUCCAAAUCGGGGUCCAAAAUUAAACUUUGUUUGAUUUCAACAAAAAUUGAAUAUAUGGGGUUCUUUGAUAUGCUGAAUCUAACCAUGUAUUUAGAUUUUUGAUUAUGGGCCCAGUUUUCAAGUUGGUCCAAAUCGGGGUCCAAAAUUAAACUUUGUUUGAUUUCAACAAAAAUUGAAUAUAUGGGGUUCUGUAAUAUGCUGAAUCUAACCGUGUAUUAAGUUUUUGGAUUUUGGGCCCCGUUUUUAAAUUGGUCCACAUUGAAGUCCAAAGGGUCCAAAAUUUAACUUUGUUUGAUUUCAACAAAAAUUGAAUUAUUGGGGUUCUUUGAUAUGCCGAAUCUAACCGUGUAUUUAGAUUCUUAAUUUUUGGUUCCGUUUUCAAAUUGGUCUACAUAAAGGUCCAAAGGGUCCAAAAUUAAACUUAGUUUGAUUUUAACAAAAAUUGAAUUUUUAGGGUUCUUUGAUAUGCUGAAUCUAAACAUGUAUUUAGAUUUUUGAUUAUGGGCCCAGUUUUCAAGUUGGUCCAAAUCGGGGUCCAAAAUUAAACUUUGCUUGAUUUCAACAAAAAUUGAAUAUAUGGGGUUCUUUGAUAUGCUGAAUCUUACCAUGUAUUUAGAUUUUUGAUUUUUGGGCCCUGUUAUCAUUUUUGUCCACAUUGAGAUCAAAAGGGUCCAAAAUUAAACUUAGUUUGAUCUAAAAAAAAAUUGAAUAUAUGGGGUUCUUUGAUAUGCUGAAUCUAACCAUGUAUUUAGAUUUUUGAUUAUGGGCCCAGUUUUCAAGUUGGUCCAAAUCGGGGUCCAAAAUUAAACUUUGUUUGAUUU